CCGGCGAUGUCCGAAUGGGGAAACCCAGUGUGAUUCGUCACACUAUCGUUAACUGAAUACAUAGGUUAACGAGGCGAACCGGGGGAACUGAAACAUCUAAGUACCCCGAGGAAAAGAAAUCAACCGAGAUUCCCCCAGUAGCGGCGAGCGAACGGGGAGCAGCCCAGAGUCUGAAUCAGCUUGUGUGUUAGUGGAACGGUCUGGAAAGUCCGACGGUACAGGGUGAUAGUCCCGUACACCAAAAUGCACAGGUUGUGAACUCGAAGAGUAGGGCGGGACACGUGGUAUCCUGUCUGAAUAUGGGGGGACCAUCCUCCAAGGCUAAAUACUCCUGACUGACCGAUAGUGAACCAGUACCGUGAGGGAAAGGCGAAAAGAACCCCGGCGAGGGGAGUGAAAAAGAACCUGAAACCGUGUACGUACAAGCAGUGGGAGCACCUUCGGGUGUGACUGCGUACCUUUUGUAUAAUGGGUCAGCGACUUAUAUUCUGUAGCAAGGUUA
rnacentral:rRNA from 1 species